CGCCUCUCAGGGUAGUACCUGGAGAGUUUCCAGUACUCUACCAGUCUCAACUAUGGAUGGGAGAGUCAAGCAGAGACAUACCGAUUCCACUCCUAGCUUGGGCAGUGGCUAGCGAGUGGAAAGCAAUCUGCUCCAUGU
rnacentral:snoRNA from 1 species